UACGAAGGGUGCAAGCGUUAAUCGGAAUUACUGGGCGUAAAGCGCGCGUAGGUGGUUUGUUAAGUUGGAUGUGAAAGCCCCGGGCUCAACCUGGGAACUGCAUCCAAAACUGGCAAGCUAGAGUAUGGCAGAGGGUGGUGGAAUUUCCUGUGUAGCGGUGAAAUGCGUAGAUAUAGGAAGGAACACCAGUGGCGAAGGCGACCACCUGGGCUAAUACUGACACUGAGGUGCGAAAGCGUGGGGAGCAAACAGGAUUAGA
rnacentral:rRNA from 1 species